rnacentral:rRNA from 1 species
GACGAACGCUGGCGGCGUGCUUAACACAUGCAAGUCGUACGGUAAGGCCCUUUCGGGGGUACACGAGUGGCGAACGGGUGAGUAACACGUGAGUAACCUGCCCACAACUUUGGGAUAACGCUAGGAAACUGGUGCUAAUACUGGAUAUGUGCCCCUGCUGCAUGGUGGGGGUUGGAAAGCUCCGGCGGUUGUGGAUGGACUCGCGGCCUAUCAGCUUGUUGGUGGGGUAGUGGCCUACCAAGGCGGCGACGGGUAGCCGGCCUGAGAGGGUGACCGGCCACAUUGGGACUGAGAUACGGCCCAGACUCCUACGGGAGGCAGCAGUGGGGAAUAUUGCACAAUGGGCGCAAGCCGGAUGCAGCAACGCCGCGGGCGGGAUGACGGCCUUCGGGUUGUAAACCGCUUUCAGCAGGGACGAAGCUUUUUGUGACGGUACCUGCAGAAGAAGCACCGGCUAACUACGUG